GUGUUUUUUGUUAUUCCAUAUGAACUUAUUUAUUUCUGAAAAAGAAAUGUCACUGGAUCUCCUUAGGACCUCAGGUUGACCUCAGAGUAGCCACUCCUUCCUUGAGGGGUGCAAUAGAC